CACGUAGGGCGCAAGCGUUGUCCGGAAUUAUUGGGCGUAAAGAGCUCGUAGGCGGUCUGUUACGUCUGCUGUGAAAACCCGGGGCUUAACCCUGGGCUUGCAGUGGAUACGGGCAGACUAGAGGCAGGUAGGGGGAGAAUGGAAUCCCGGUGUAGCGGUGAAAUGCGCAGAUAUCGGGAGGAACACCGGUGGCGAAGGCGGUCUCUGGGCCUGACCCUGACGCUGAGGAGCGAAAGCGUGGGGAGCGAACAGG
rnacentral:rRNA from 1 species